rnacentral:rRNA from 1 species
GACGAACGCUGGCGGCGUGCCUAAUACAUGCAAGUCGAGCGAACAGACGAGGAGUUUGCUCUUCUGACGUUAGCGGCGGACGGGUGAGUCACAGGUGGUCAACCUUCCUAUUAGACUGGAAUCAUUUCGGCAAACCGGAGCUCAUACCGGAUACUAUAUUGAAUCUGAUGGUUCCAUAGUGAUAUCCGGUUUUGCUGUGCCUUAUAGAUGGAUCCUCGCCGCAUUAGCUAGUUGGUAAUGUAACGGCUUACCAAGGCCACGAUGCGUAGCCGACCUGAGAGGGGGAACGGCGACACCGGAACUGAGACACGGUCCAGACUCCUACGGGAGGCAGCAGUACAGAAUCUUCCGCAAAGGGGGAAAGAUUGACGAAGCAGCGCAGCGCGAAUGAUGAGGGUCCUCGGAUCGUAAGACGCGGUUAUGGGUGAAAAACAAAUGUGCUAGUAACUAUGCACGUCAUGACGGUACCUAGUCAAAAAGCCACGGCUAACUACGUG